rnacentral:rRNA from 1 species
CCUACGGGGUGCAGCAGUAGGGAAUCUUCCACAAUGGGCGAAAUCCUGAUGGCGCAACGCCGCGUGGGUGAAGAAGGUCUUCGGAUCGUAACACCCUGUUGUUAGAGAAGAAAGUUCGUGAGAGUAACUGUUCACGUUUCGACGGUAUCUAACCAGACAUCCACGGCUAACUACGUGCCAGCAUCCGCGGUAAUACGUAGGUGGCAAGCGUUCUCCGGAUUUAUUGGGCGUAAGGGGAACGCAGGCGGUCUUUUACGUCUGAUGUGAAAGCCUUCGGCUUAACCGGAGGAGUGAAUUGGAAACUGGGAGACUUGAGUGCAGAAGAGGAGAGUGGAACUCCAGGUGUAGCGGUGAAAUGCGUAGAUAUAUGGAAGAACACCAGUGGCGAAAGCGGCUCUCUGGGCUGUAACUGACGCUGAGGUUCGAAAGCGUGGGUAGCAAACAGGAUUAGAUACCCUUGUAGUC